rnacentral:rRNA from 1 species
CACGGGGGUUGCGAGCGUUGUCCGGAAUUACUGGGCGUAAAGGGGGCGUAGGCGGUAAAAGAAGUCAUCUGUGAAAACCUAUUGCUCAACGAUAGGCUAGCGGAUGAAACUGAAUUACUUGAGGGCACCAGAGGUAGACGGAAUUACCCGAGUAGGGGUGAAAUCCGCAGAUACGGGUAGGAACGCCGGUGGAGAAGUCGGUCUACUGGGGUGCACCAGACGCUGAGGCCCGAAAGCUAGGGGAGCAAACCGGAUUAGAUACCCGGGUAGUCCUAGCCGUAAACGAUGCUCACUAGGUGUAGGGAGUGAUAAACUCUCUGUGCUGAAGCGAACGCGCUAAGUGAGCCGCCUGGGGAGUACGUCCGCAAGGAUGAA